AACGAACGCUGGCGGCAUGCCUAACACAUGCAAGUCGAACGAUUGCCUUCGGGUGAUAGUGGCGCACGGGUGCGUAACGCGUGGGAAUCUGCCCUUAGGUUCGGAAUAACAGCUGGAAACGGCUGCUAAUACCGGAUGAUAUCGCGAGAUCAAAGAUUUAUCGCCUGAGGAUGAGCCCGCGUUGGAUUAGGUAGUUGGUGGGGUAAAGGCCUACCAAGCCGACGAUCCAUAGCUGGUCUGAGAGGAUGAUCAGCCACACUGGGACUGAGACACGGCCCAGACUCCUACGGGAGGCAGCAGUGGGGAAUAUUGGACAAUGGGCGCAAGCCUGAUCCAGCAAUGCUGCGUGAGUGAUGAAGGCCCUAGGGUUGUAAAGCUCUUUUACCCGGGAAGAUAAUGACUGUACCGGGAGAAUAAGCCCCGGCUAACUCCGUG
rnacentral:rRNA from 1 species